AAACAUUUUGUAAAGAAAAAAAGAGGAGGGGGCCUUAUAUUCUCUGGGCAAAGUCCAGAUACCGGCCAAAGGGCCGCCGUGUCUCCAUCGCACCUCCGCCGGUAGCCGGCGCCAUCGCCGCCAUAUGCGGCGGCCGGAGAGUUAAAAAAAUUCCCUUCUUCGGCCGAUCUAAAAGCAGGCACUCGAUGGCGCCAGUGGAGAGGCGGUGGUGGCAGAGGACGUGACAGAGGCGGUGGGUUGGUGGCAGCAGUCAAGUGGAGGCCCCAGUCAAGUGGGGCACUAGGGUUUCAGAGACUGAAACCCUAGUCUGACUCCUUGUUGGGUCUGGGGAAUUGGGCUUCUUGGGCCUUUUAUUUGUAAUGGGCCCGGGUUAAAAUGGGCCUGUAACAAAAAGCGUUUUCGAUUAUUUAGAUCCAAAGAAAUUGGAACCAAAUGCGUUAAGGAUCAAUUUUCUCGAAUCUAAACAUAAAAUUUUACUUGUUUGAAAGUCGAAA